CGGGGACCCCGGGACCCACCCCCUCCGCCGGCGGGCCCCCAGCGUCUGCGAGCGGCGGCACGGCCAGGCCCGGCGGCGGCGGGGCUGGGACGGGAGGAGCCUCCGCCCGGGGAGCACACACUGCGCGGCGCCCGCCCCCCGGCCUGCCCGGCCCCCACUCACCUGCGGACCCGGGCCGCCGCCGCUGCCGCCGCCGGAAGUGCCGCCGGUCCGCGCCUGGCCGCCUUCCCCGGGCCACUUCCGGGACGCUCUAGGCAGCCCGGAGGACUGACUCGGCCUCUCGGUAGUGCGGGCAGCCGGGCGCCGCGGCGCCGGGGGGCGGGGCCCCUGCGCGCGCACCUGCCGACGGGGCGCACCGGCCCGCGGGGCGCACCGGCCCGGGAGUCGCGGGUCUUGUGCGAGUGGAGCCCCGAGCUGAAGGGCGCGGGCGGGACUCCUGCGGUCCCGGGCCAGGGCUGGCAGGAGCGCGGUGAUGCGGCCCCUCGCGUUAGUGAGAUGCGGUGGCCCGAGCGGUUUCCUUCCCGCUGAGAGAAAACGCACUCCCCGGAGAGGGAAAAAGGAAAACCGUCGGGUCCCUGUCCGGCAGGGGCCGGGGCCUUGCUCGCUGCACAUCUGAUGUGCGGGCUUCGGAUGCGGACGCGGGGCCCCUGCUCGGACCUGGGCCGUCCUGGGCUGAGCUCGUCGGGGACCUGGGGAUGCGAUGGAUGUGGUCUGCGUGCGGGGCGGGCGGGAGUCUUUGGAGCCCGGAGUCCAGCCCCGGCGCGGAAGAAGGAGCGCCGGGCGCCGCUCUGGAGAACCUUCCCAGCAUGUCCUGGGCCAGCAGCUCACGCCCAGCCUUUCCAGACCUGAGCUCGGAACACGGCCCAGCGUCGACCCGUCAGCGCACCCCCACCCCGGUCUGAGCCCACGCUGGCAGAGAAGAGAGGGUCAGAAAGAGGAUGAGAAGGAAGAACUUGGGUCUCCUGGGAAUGGCCACUGAUGACUCCACCGCCUCACCCCCCAUUGCACAGGACCCAGGCCACAGCCGCUCCCCACCGCAGCUCCCCAUCCCUGUUCACAACCAGAGUGGCCUUGAGGGUGUCAGUCUGAGCCGAUUAAUGCCCCACUCAUCCCUGGAAUCCCAGUGGGCUCCGCAGAACGGUCCCCAGCAGACCACACCACAUCUGGCUCGAGCUGUCCCCUCCAGGCCCCACACAGGAGCCCCUUCCGGAUGUGCUGUCCCUCAGCCCGCAGACCUCCACUUGAAGGCAAGACCGGAAGCAGCAGAACCACUCACCCAGAUCCUGGAGGCCUCAGGUGGGGAGAUGUCACCAGCCAGUCCCCAGAACAGGGGGGGUUUGGCUCCAGCCUGGGGAUGCUUGUGAAUUCCACAGCCUCUGGCAGAAGGGCCGCAUUGCCCAUGUGGACCAGGUGUCCUGGGCUCCCUGACCUCACUCCAGGACAGAGGAGAGGCGGCUGGAGAUGGGGGACAGCUCUAAGAGGCACCAGCACCGGAAGGGGGCUGGAAUGCAAGGCCAGAGACAGGAGGAGGGAUGGGUUUGGGGCAGAGACACUGAUGGCACGUAGGAUACCUUUGUGAGAACCAGGACGAGGGCCCUUCUCUGGGGUGCAAGGCCCUUCCCAGAAUUCGAGGUGGACAGGCACCCAGGCUGGCAGUAGGCCGAGGGAGCUCGGCCCUGGGGAACCGGGGGUGAGAAGCAGGCUCCCAGGCCCCGGCGUGGAACUCAGUGCCCGCAGGACCCACACACGUGCACACACUCACAGAGCUUACUUGACGCCUGAAUUUCAAGAGCCCAGAAUGGGAGGCCGGGCCCUGAGCAUGCGCUCCCCAGGGGUCCGUGGUCUUGCAGCGUGCAGUUGACCCUCUCGAUUUUACCAAGGCAUUUUUCUCAAGAAGAAGGUCUACAGAAGUAGAAGGUGAAAUCAGCUGUGGUUUUGUAAUUAACUCACCAUCUUUAUUUUUUAAAUUAAUUCUGCCCCAAAUAUGAGAUUCAUCCAGCA